GGCGAACAAGAAGAACACUAUGGCGAUAGCUUAAAAGAAGGCAACAUAGUUAAAGUACGCAUCCAAGUCCAAAAGAGUUCUAUCAAUGGAAUCAACUUCAUUAACAAACGUGGCAAACAUGUAGAUUACGUUGCACAUCCAUCACAUGUAAACUAGAUAACAAAGCUGUCAAAACUGAUAACAACUCUAACAACAAGCACUCUUGUUGUAUUCCAUUGGCGAUAUCGAAUGGAAUUUAAAAGGAACUAUCAAGCAAGGUCAAUGGUGUGCGAGCGAGACGACAUGGACGCUGAAUGGGCAUUGACACAGACCACAGAAGAAGCAAGCUUGCGUGAUCAAUUCCUUUAGCAACAUCAACAUGGAGUCGGGCCGCAUUGAUUUGGAAGCCCUAGUCCCACUUCAGCCUAGAGGGACGCUGGUUAUCUCCACACACAGGACUUUUUUUUGUCUUCACUCACACACACACACACACGAUUAUUUUUUGUGAGGGUUCCGGAAGAAACAGCGGGAAAGGGGUGGUCAUAAUUUGUAAUUUUGGUCAUAAGACAUUGUGAUAUAACGAAGGGCGAGCAAACCUUUUCUUUGCUGUGUGGUCCAGCGCAAAGGAAAUAGGUGUGUAUGUGUUGGUCAAUCUAUUGUGUCCGUGGUACUGGGGGAUGUAUGAACAUUUAAAAAAAAACAGCUUGCACUUAAUAAAUAAAUAGAUUUAGUCAGUGCCAGAUUUUAAAUGUUGAGGCAAUCAGCAGAAUUUUCUAUCGUGGGGGAGGAUGUACCUUCCAAAAGUUUCAAUACAAAUUUAAAUAAUAAUGUUAAUAAAUCUAUAAGCAUGGUGUAUUUAUGAGAAAGAAAAUUGAGUACUUCUAAAUGUAAAUAUCAUUUUCUUUCCUUUUGAAUUUUUAAUAAGCUUAUUCUCAAAAUCUGUAUAACCUAUUUUUGAAAGGUAAAGACCCUCUUUAAGCGCAAGGCUCAGUGUGGCUGCACGUCUUAGCACAGUCGUAAAUCCGGCACAGGAUCUAGUUAGUGUUGAAUUCUAGCCAAGGCUAGUUUUGUAUGUUCAAGCUGUAUGACUUUGGCUUCUAUAUUCUCCAACACAUUAAAACGUCUUCUAGUUGCCAUGUUGUAGUUUUAAUGUUUUCAUUUCUAUUUUUGUUUGUUUGAUAUAGUUUU